rnacentral:rRNA from 1 species
GAUGAACGCUAGCGGCAGGCCUAACACAUGCCAGUCGAGGGAGAAGCCCUUUCGGGGGCAGAAACCGGCGCACGGGUGCGUAACGCGUAUGCAACCUACCUUUCACAGGGGGAUAGCCCGAAGAAAUUUGGAUUAAUACCCCAUAAUAUUAUUGGAUGGCAUCAUUUGAUAAUUAAAACUGCGGUGGUGAAAGAUGGGCAUGCGUCCUAUUAGCUAGUUGGAGUGGUAACGGCACCCCAAGGCUACGAUAGGUAGGGGUCCUGAGGGGGAGAUCCCCCACACUGGUACUGAGACAGGGACCAGACUCCUACGGGAGGCAGCAGUGAUGAAUAUUGGUAAAUGGUCGGAAGACUGAACCAGCCAUGCCGCGUGCAGGAAGAAUGCCUUAUGGGUUGUAAACUGCUUUUAUAUGGGAAGAAUAAGGUGUACGUGUACAUUGAUGACGGUACCAUAUGAAUAAGCAUCGGCUAACUCCGUG